GGAAAGAUGUCCGAGUGGUUUAUGGUACGGAUCUGGAAAGUCCGUGGUUUAUUCCCGAGGGUUCGAAUCCCUCUCUUUCCG
rnacentral:tRNA from 1 species